GGGACCGCGCUCAGUGUUCUCGCCCGCGUGAUAAUUUACCGAUGGGAGUGUAUAAUUAUAAAAUAUACUUAACUGCAUUUUGAUUUAUUUUUCGCAUGGGACUGGCUAAUUUACGCCGCCACUCGUCUAGUUUGAUUUAGAACUUGGUUCCGAAAAGUUGACAUGCCGAGACUACCGGUGGUGAGAGUGUGAUAUAGUGUGUGAGAAUAUUGAAAUCGUGGCCAGAACUCGGAAGAAGAUAGUUUUGGGUGCCAAAAAAAACGGUCAAUGAAAAGCGGUCACAGCAAGCCUAUCGAAGCAGCGAUGAAAGUUGAUGGCUUGAAACAGUACAGACAAACAGACAUAACAUGCGGUUCAGUUAAUAUAUUUUGAUUACCAUGAGUGCAUUUUAGUUGGCGGAACAAGUGGAUCCUGUGAGAAUGAAAUAUGACUAUGAAUAAUUCAAGUGGAAACGCAGCGAAAAACUCUUUACAUGAAACAUUUUGCUCUAAUUCAACCCAGGUCUAGUUUCGGGGCGCGGAAGAUGGGAGAUAAAAAAAUGUGCGUGAAGUAAAGAUGAUAAUAUUGUAAUCUGGCGUGGCGUGGCUACUUUCGAAACAAAACACAAAGUUUCCGAAUGAAUUCUGAAGUGCGCAUUACAAUACAACUGCUGUAAAAAA